rnacentral:rRNA from 2 species
CAAGUGAAGAGUUUGAUCCUGGCUCAGAUUGAAUGCUGGCGGCAUGGCUAAAACAUGCAAGUCGAACGAACCCGCAAGGGUGAGUGGCGAAAGGGUUAGUAAUGCGAUCGAAUGUACCCCGAGGUGGAGGAU